AGAGUUUGAUCCUGGCUCAGGCUGAACGCUGGCUGUGUGCCUAAUACAUGCAUGUUGAACGAAGCUAAAAGUGCUUGCACUUUAAGACUUAGUAGCGAAUGGGUGAGUAACACGUACUUAACCUACCCCCAAGUUUGGGAUAACGUUUGGAAACGAACGCUAAUACCGAAUACGUAUUUUUAUCGCAUGAUAGAAAUAUAAAAGGAGCUUCGGCUUCGCUAGGGGAUGGGAGUGCGCUACAUUAGUUAGUUGGUAGGGUAAUGGCCUACCAAGACUAUGAUGUAUAGCGGGGCCGAGAGGCUGAUCCGCCACACUGGGACUGAGAUACGGCCCAGACUCCUACGGGAGGCAGCAGUAGGGAAUUUUCCACAAUGAACGAAAGUUUGAUGGAGCGACACAGCGUGCAGGAUGAAGGUCUUCGGAUCGUAAACUGCUGUUAUAAGGGAAGAAAAACUUUAGUAGGUAAUGACUAGAACUUGACGGUACCUUAUCAGAAAGCGACGGCUAACUAUGUGCCGGCAGCCGCGGUAAU
rnacentral:rRNA from 1 species